rnacentral:lncRNA from 1 species
AUAGAAUUCAUGUUCAUGUCUCAUUAUUUUUAUGUUUCGCUCCUGCUAGGCCUUGACUGUGGAAACUUGACUGUGCAAACCAAGGAUUUUAUUUUUUCAGGGAAAGCUCCACGCUGAGCUCACAUCUGCUGCCCAUCUUCCUCUUUCUUUCUUUUUUCCUCCUCAAAGCCCCAGUGCAUGGCUGUAUAUCCUGGUGGUAAGUUGUUCUAGUUCUUCUACGUGAGCUGUCUGCCACAGCACGGCACCUGACAGAGGAGUGGUGUGAUUCCAUGACUGAGAAGCAAACCGGGGUCCCUGAAGUGAGGAGAGCACCGAGCUUUACCCACUACGCCAUCAGGGCUGGCCCCAAACCAAGUUUGACUGUGAAAGUUGUUGAUCCAGACAUGGAAACCAGGAUAGCCUAUCACUUCCUCUCCUGCUCUCUCUCUCUUUAGGAGAACAGCCUCAUCGGGCUGGCUCUGGUUGUGGCCGCUGUUGGGGUCUAUUCCAUGGAAUUAUUCUCUUCUAACAUUACUUCAUGUUCAGAAAAGAGAAAAAGGCAGAUAGCCUCAGGUUUGUAACAGGAAUCUUUUACUCACGUGACAUUCAAUGAGUCAAUUAUCACAACCUCUUUAUCAUUUCCUCAUUAGAAAAAGAAAUAAUAAUUUGUGUUUUGCAGAGUGGCUUCGAGGACUGAGAUUUUUAGAUAUAUGAGCUUCAUGUAUACAAAGUCCUGCAGUGGCUCCCAAGCUAGGAGGUAUCAUCUGCCUGGGUAUAUUUGGAAAUAUUUGUGGGCAGUUUUGUUUUUCAUAGCGACUCUUGGUGCCACUCGCUUUUAUACAGGGAGCCAGCCAGGGUGGUAACCCAGAAGAUUUUCUUUUACUGCAAAACAAAGCGUCAUACCUCUGAAGAUGUUUCAUAUAUCCUGGUUUUUAAAUGUUGUUUAGAAGAGGAAGAACUUCUGUAGCUUAAGAUAUUGAUGAUCGAUAAUCUUUUCAGACUGCUCUACAUUAUCUCCAGAAUUUCCUUCUAUGAUAUGGAUGUCAAUUCUAGAAGACUUGUUGCUGGUGCUCUCUUACUGGAAUGUGUCUAUGGAAGGUUUUCAAAGUAUAAACAGAACUCACAUUCCUUCCCGAGUUGUUUCUUAAGUAGUUUGAGAUGGAAAUGUCAACAUUUCAGUUGUGUUAUCAUGCCACAAAUAACAAUGAUACUUGCUCAAGCACAGGCAGUGAUGAGUUUGUUGGGAAUGCCGUCUGCCUGACAGAAAUUAUAAGAUAUCAUUAAUCUUAAGAAGCAUCUUGAUUUCAAAGAUGUUAAAAUAUGUAAAAAAAAAAUUGUAACUUAUAAUAAAUGUAAUGCAAUACUUUACCUACCGUGGGACUUUUGUGCUACUGACUGACAUGGCCAUCAAGUACCGACUUGUCAAAUAUUUAAUGUUGAAUAGGAUGCAUUAGUUUCUAUCCCUCAUUUCAAUAUACAAGUCAGCUACCUUGAUUUUCCAAUGAAUAUUUUAAAAAUUUCUUUUCUCUGACUUUGAGAGUACAUAUA